AACUGCACAGUUGCCUGCCAGCCUGUCCUCUUUUGACUGUCUGCCGAAUAAGCCAAAUGAUAACUCUCCAUCAGAGAGAGAGAGAGAGAGAGAGAAAGGCACACAUUGAGAUACAGAGGAAGAAAGACCACGCAAAAAGAGGGAGGGGGAGUGCGGGGCGAAAGGAUCCUCUCCAGCACACUCAUGUAUUAGGUCUCUGUGCUAAAGCACAAGGCUGCAGACGCAGCAUCAGCAAGCUUUGCGGGCAGUGAUUCUAACUAGUGCCCAUGAACACCGUGGUCAGGACGACUCUGAAGAGGCAAUUUAUCACUUAUGCCUAGAACACUCUAGCUCUGCUCACACUGAGAGCGCAGUCACCCCUUGUUCUCUAAUUUAGAGACUUGCAUCUUUUUGGCACUCAACACUGUCAAGACACUCUGCUACUACAGAAACAUGAGCUGUGACAGUCUUUACCAAGAAAGUCUUAUCAAGAGAACAUAUGUGUACAAUUAACAAGCAUGCAAAAUGGUUAUGAGAUUAAGAGAAAAUGCAAGGAAGUUGAUGAUUCAUAUACAUCAUGGUAUCACUGAGUUGCAAGUUUGUUUUUUUUUAAUUAAAAAAAGUUCCUUUGUUCUUAUGACUCA